AAUUAAUAAUUAAAAUUAAAUAAAUAAAUAAUUAAAUUAAAUUUAGAACCUUCUGGAAUAAAAGAACUGGCCCAGGACGGGGCUUGAACCCGCAACCUCCGCUUGCCGUGCGGUGCGCUAUCAGUUAUGCCACCCGGACCCCGAGCAAGCCUUUGCUUCCAGAGGUAUAUUAGAUUAGAUAUAACCUUACUUGGUUAAAUACAUCACUGACUGGGGGCGACUUCAUCGCCCACGACCCUCAAUGGCACUCAGCCAGCUAACGUAACACCCGGCGAGGUAUAUAUAUAUAAAUAACAUCAACAUAAAGCCCGAUUGGUAUACAUAUAAAACUUCCAAACGAUCGCCUGAAUAACGGGCUAUAAUAUGGCUACUUAAAAUGAUUAGAACCAAAGCAAUUUGUCUUAAGAGAACCUUCUGGAAUAAAAGAACUGGCCCGGGACGGGGCUCGAACCCGCAACCUCCGCUUACCGUGCGGUGCGCUACCAGUUACGCCACCCGGACCCCGAGCAAGCCUUCGCUUCCAGAAGUAUAUAUAAUAGAUUAGAUAUAACCUUACUUGGUUAAAUACAUCACUGACUGGGGGCGACUUCAUCGCCCACGACCCUCAAUGGCACUCAGCCAGCUAACGUAACACCCGGCGAGG